rnacentral:tRNA from 1 species
GCCCCCGUAGCCCAGGUGUUGGCGGCGGUGGGCUUUGCCCUUGCAGAACCCAGGGGUCAGGCCCUUGCGGGGGUUC